rnacentral:rRNA from 1 species
GACGGAGGAUGCAAGCGUUAUCCGGAAUGAUUGGGCGUAAAGCGUCCGCAGGUGGCAGUUCAAGUCUGCUGUCAAAGACCGGGGCUUAACUUCGGAAAGGCAGUGGAAACUGAACAGCUAGAGUAUGGUAGGGGCAGAGGGAAUUCCUGGUGUAGCGGUGAAAUGCGUAGAGAUCAGGAAGAACAUCGGUGGCGAAGGCGCUCUGCUGGACCAUAACUGACACUCAGGGACGAAAGCUAGGGUAGCAAAUGGG